UACGCCCUACGGGGCGCAGCAGUAGGGAAUUUUCGUCAAUGGGCGCAAGCCUGAACGAGCAAUGCCGCGUGAACGAGGAAGGUCUUCGGAUCGUAAAGUUCUGUUGAAGGGGAAAAAGAGCGGAGAGAGGAAAUGAACUCCGAUUGAUAUUACCCUUCGAGGAAGUCACGGCUAACUACGUGCCAGCAGCCGCGGUAAUACGUAGGUGGCGAGCGUUAUCCGGAAUGAUUGGGCGUAAAGGGUGCGUAGGCGGCCUGCUAAGUCUGAUGUGAAAGCCUUCGGCUCAACCGGAGAAUUGCAUCAGA
rnacentral:rRNA from 1 species